ACUAUCCCUAAUCACCCAGUUUGCCAUGGGUACUAACCCAAUUUUCCCGUUUCUGCUACCUAGGGUAUUCAAGGUUCUGCCAGGUCCUGUGGAAAAUAUUCGCCUCAGCUUUCUUUUUAUUGCUUUUUACGCUUGUGUGCAUUUUGAGCUUUCAAUUUCUUUGCUCUGCCCGCUUUUUUUGUUGUUUCGAAUUUCUAUAAAUAUUUUUGCGGCUGCUUUUUGCUCUCUUUAUUCGCUGAAGCUCCCUCUUUGUGUCGAGUUUUGCUUUCGCCCAGCAUUUUCCUGUUGUUAUUUGAAGUUUGGAUUGCAUUCGCAUUCGGUUGUGCCCCCCGCACCUGGCUUGCAGUCGAGUUUUCCCAAGUUUUUGCACACAUUUUCAGCUGCCACCUCCCACCACCCCUUUAGGAUAUACAAAUUCUUGAACUUUUCCCAGCAGCCAGACAAGUUUCCUUACGGAGCAGCAGCAGCAGCAGCAGCAGGAGCACAAGAAGUCAACGACUUGCGAGUGGGCCAUGCUUUCUUAGCCUCGCAUUAAUAACCAUAAAUUGAAGUCCGUGAACGGAAAAUUGGUAAUUCAAUUACGCUAAACAGCCACGACUAUGACGCUGGCAACAGCCGGCAUUACGCAGCCGACCAGUUGGCCAAUCAGCCAUGCCAAUAACUGAGUGACUUGGCUGUUACACUUGAAAAAAAUAAUUAUGGAAUUGGUUGGCAUGCAUAAUAAAAGUUACUGAUUAUUAAAAAUGUGUGUAAAGAGGUUAUCAGAAUUCUACUCUUGCCAUUAUUUUUGUGGCUUUUAUACAACAUAUUAUAACGUUUUAUGAAUUCCAUGUUUAUAAGCGGUCAGCUUGAGGCGCAUGCAUAAUUUGCACUCGCAAUCAAUGGCAGCUGCGGCCAUAAUGCCAAUGACUCGAUUGCCGGCCAUAUGACCUCCGACCCUCCGCCAAUCGACCCUACGACUGACUAUCAUAGCCCCAAUACGCACAGGAACACCUUCGCCACCCCAAACUUCACUGCCCCCGCCGCCAUUGACUCAAAGUCAGAUGCUGCGAUCUGACGAUGCAAAAACUUGGCAUUGCAUAUUCAGGGGCCGGAGCGCAUAAUUAAGCCGGGAACGUCCAAAAUACGCAAUUUCGAUUGGCUACCAAAGUGCAGCCAACUGUUAUGGCCCCUUUGGCCAGGCCCGGAUCCCGGAUCCCGAAUAUCGCCAUCAUCGCUCCCAGCACCCCAUCAACCUCAUCAGCCGCAUCUUCAUUAUCAUUAUGGAUAUCGACAGCCGCAGCAUCGCAGCAAAGCAGAAGCAAUCGCAAUCGCAAUUGCAAAAGCAGAAAUGGCCACAGGGCAUAUGCACACGUGCUAAAUAGCUCGUAAACUGCGUUGAUAAUUUGCAGAGGGUUUGCAAUGCCAGUUCCUUGCCACAACCCAGAAAUUAAGGGAUGCACGAGAGGCUGGAACUGCGAGGUACAUAGUAUUUCAAACUAAUAGAUCAGAAAACUUUUAGGUACAACCUCUCAAGUUAUCUAUGCAACUAAGAAUGAAACAGCUCUUAAGCUUUUUUAUAAGAGAAUUUGUUGAUUUCUUAUUUCAAUUUUACUUACUAGGAUAAUAAGCUACUUCUUUAAUGUUACUUUAAUUUUACUAUAACACUAAAA